ACCAACAUGCAUGACUCUGAAGUUUCCGGAGAGGAAGAAGACUGGAAUCCUGACCAGCCCAUCCAUCCCCUGUGCGGGCGAAGCCUUGAUUUACAACUCUGGCUGGGAAAGCAUCUCAUCCUCUUCCCGGAUCCCCGGGCGCUCCCUCCCUCACCAUCUGAGCGGCAACCGUGCUCCAGAAGAGCCGCUCUACCAUAAAUGCUGCCUACAGGACUACAAAGAAGCUCCUGACCCAAGGAGGUACUUGUCGCAGACUGUUGCCCUUCCAUAUAUGGGAUGCGUCCAUGCGUCCCUGGCCCAUUAAAAUAGGGCAUUAAUAAUUCAA
rnacentral:lncRNA from 1 species